UCCGGUUGCAAGAUGUGACGCCAAACGGCCUCCUUCUCAAGCAGGCGACGCGGCAGUUGAAGUCGUUGGAGUGGGAGGAUCGUUCGUAGACGUUGGGGGUAACUCCGCUUCCCCCGAUGGAAUACCACCAUGGGGAAUCGUUCUGAUUUGCGUCGGAAGUCUUAUUGUUAUUGGGGCCGUAGUAUUUCUCGUAUGGUGGGUGAGGAGUGGCACAGAUGAUGAUACAACGAAAGAGAAGAAACAACCUCACACAACGGCCGAUUCGGAACCCUCCAUCAACUAGACAAACUGUAGUCGCAGCGUUAAUUUAACAUCGGUGGAAUUGAACUAAAAAAACUGACUGAACCAACAGAUAUGUAAACUUGGGAUGUCUUAAUUGUGGCUUACUUAUAAAACUAUCAAUAUAUCUGUAAUCCUUAUUUAUAUAAAAGUUUUUUUUUAUAUUUUUAUUUAAAUGUUGUUUGAAUUUGAAAUGAGGUAAUCGCAGCUAAUCAAUGAAAGCAGAACCGUCAAAUGUUUGAAAACUGUUUUUAUUUUUGAGGUACAAAAUAAUACGUACGAAAAAUAUAUCAUGUUGUAAAUGAACAGACUGACAGUUACAUGUGCCUUUGACAUCAUCAAUCCUUUUGUUAAGUUGAUCUAAUUUCACGGGCAUGCUAAGGUUGUCAAUGUAUUUUAUACUAUUUUUUAUUUUUAUUUCUAUGUUACAGUACUAAUGUUUUAUUUAUUUUAAGGCAAAUCAUGUUGUUAUGUCAUGUUAAACGUUUCCAUUUAUCUCUAUUCAAUUUUAACGUUUAUCCUUCAUGAGUUAUUCUAUUUAAUUUCUAUUUUAUACUGUAUAACAAGAAUUCAUAACGGUAAAAGAAGUGACCUUUGCGACAUAUAAUAUGAAAGCAGGUGACAUUUCUACCUGGAAAUAUAGUUGUCCUAGUUCUUUGCGGGCACGUGAACUAGGGGUCGGUUUAAAAAUAUACGUUUCAAAAAUAUGCUGACGUCGGAUGCGGAAAGAAAUACAUGCAUGGGAUAACGGCUUGACCUUCAAACGAGUGAUCGGUUGAUUUGUAAUAUAGUGAAUAUCCAGGAGCUUUCAGCGCUUUCAUUUUAAAAGCUGCACUCCCACAGUUUGAACGUUUUGACAACUUUGUUUUAUUUUUUUUUGUCUUAGAACGAGCCAAUUUAUGCAAAAAUGCAUGACAACCAGUCAUAUAAGACUGCUGAAGGAAAAUUAGACAGCGAUCAUUGCAAUGUGGCUGUCGGCUGGUUCGAUUCAUGACUCGACCGUGUAAAGAUAGAUGUCAACAUUAAAGAUGGGGCACGUGUAUGUUACGAGUGUAACAACGACCUUUAAGAAAGCAUUUUGAACACAAAGUGACACAAACACCACUAACUAUUUACAUUUCUUAAUUCUUUCAAUUUUAAGACUUUAACUUACACACAAACUGGUUUAAGCCCGCAGUUAAUUUACAUUUUACUGACCGUUCCAAGGCGGUACUAUCCUUGAUUCACACACCUAUUUUCAUAUAGUAAAUUUGUACUGUGUUGUUUGUUGAGUUUUGUGCUGUUGUUCCAUGUUUCUGGUUUGAGAAUUCUUGUGUUUGUGUUUUAUAUUUUUGGCGUUUACCCUUUGCAAUUAAACGGGAUUAAUGCUUAAACUUU